CUUCUCUGCCCUGAGCAGGUCUGGGUCCUGGCUGUCUUCUCUGCCCUGAGCAGGCCUGUGUCCUGUCUGUGUCUUCUUUGUGCCCGAAGCAGGCCUGUGUCCUGGCUGUGUCUUCUCUGCCCUGAGCAGGCCUGGGUCCUGGCUGUGUCUUCUUUGUGCCCUGGGCAGGCCUGUGUCCUGGUUGUGUCUUCUCUGCUCUGAGCAGGUCUGGGUCCUGGCUGUCUUCUCUGCCCUGGGCAGGCCUGGGUCCUGGCUGUCUUCUCUGCCCUGAGCAGGUCUGGGUCCUGGCUGUCUUCUCUGCCCUGGGCAGGCCUGGGUCCUGGCUGUCUUCUCUGCCCUGGGCAGGCCUGGGUCCUGGCUGUCUUCUCUGCCCUGAGCAGGCCUGGGUCCUGGCUGUCUUCUCUGCCCUGGGCAGGCCUGGGUCCUGGCUGUCUUCUCUGCCCUGGGCAGGCCUGGGUCCUGUCCUGGUCGUGUCUUCUGUGCCCUGAGCAGGCCUGGGUCCUGGCUGUCUUCUCUGCCCUGGGCAGGCCUGGGUCCUGGCUGUCUUCUCUGCCCUGGGCAGGCCUGGGUCCUGGCUGUCUUCUCUGCCCUGAGCAGGCCUGGGUCCUGGCUGUCUUCUCUGCCCUGAGCAGGCCUGGGUCCUGGUUGUGUCUUCUCUGCCCUGGGCAGGCCUGGGUCCUGGCUGUCUUCUCUGCCCUGGGCAGGCCUGGGUCCUGGCUGUCUUCUCUGCCCUGGGCAGGCCUGGGUCCUGGCUGUCUUCUCUGCCCUGAGCAGGCCUGGGUCCUGGCUGUCUUCUCUGCCCUGGGCAGGCCUGGGUCCUGGCUGUCUUCUCUGCCCUGGGCAGGCCUGGGUCCUGGCUGUCUUCUCUGCCCUGGGCAGGCCUGGGUCCAGGUCUUCAGAGAAUCAUGAGCUACUUAGUAACCUUCAGUGGCAGCGGUUCCAUCUUUCUGGGUUGCCUGCUGAACUAAGAAUUUCCUUUCCCUCUUGUGUGGUUUUAAAAUGUUAGAGAUUGACGUAGAUGAAACUGUGGUUUGCAAAUGGUUUAAACUGUAUGAAAGCCUCCUGAGGAAGUUUUUGUUAGAAAAACAAUUUCAUCUAAGUAACUCAAAUUUGUCAGUUACUGUUUUAGGGGAAAUAACUUUCCUUAUUUUAGAGAAAAUAAUUAUCUAUUAUAAUAGCUUGCCUCUUUUAUCCUUUUAAAAUAAAAGUGCCCCAGACUGUUCUAUUUCCUAGUAGUUUUAAAAAUAGUGUUAGAGUCUUGAAAACAGUGUUGAGUGUAUGAAUGAAGACACCUAGACAGUACUUAGACAGAUACUUGUUGUAUAGUUAUUCACAGUAGCACGUCAGACGUAAUGAGUAACACUGUUGCAGUUUAUAUCUUUAUUGUGGGAUUUGUUAAUUAGAAAAACAACAUGACAGCCCUGUGGCUGGUAGACACCUGGAACCCCAGCAUUUGGGAGCUGAGGCAGGGCAAUAGCCACAAACCUAAGGCAGCCUGGGCUCCGUGGUGAAUUUAAAACCAGGCAAGGCUAUCUUGUGAGAUCAUCUCAGGAAAUUAGCACCGUGUGGAAUCUGGUAUGAUACAGUUACUUUUUUGUUGUUCAUGCCAGAAAAACAUUUUUCUAUGUUUAUUAUUUUGUAUGUAUACAUGUAGUGUACAUGCGUGUUGAAGUGUGUUUGUAGAGAUCAUAUGAUAUUAAGGAAUUGGUUUUCCCUUCCACCAUGCAGGAUUAUACCAAGUUGUUAGGCAUGGUGGCAAGCACCUUUUAACCCAUCUUGCCAGCUCCGGUUUCAAAAAAUUCUUGAAUAAAAUAAAAGGACAUCAUUAGAACAACAGAGAGAUAAUCCCUGUUCCCCUUCUUGGAUUACAGAAUUAACUUUUAUUUUUCUAUGUUUACAUGAACCACAUAAAUGUUACUGUGCAUAUGACUCUCUUUCACAAACGUGUUGCAUGUUAUCCAGGGAGAUGGUGCAGCAGGUUAAAGUGCUUGCCAUGCAAGUCUGAUAAACUGAAUCCCAUCCCUGGAACUCAGGGAAAGAAAGAGACCCACUGUGUACAUGUGUCCUUUGACCGGCAAUUGUGUGCUCCGGCACACACGCAUUCACACAGUCUUACUAUUACAUUUCUAAAGGUUAAUAGGAUGCAUUUCAUCUGUUUUCCAUGUUUUGAGACUUAAAACAAAUGAAAAAGCAUUUCUCAGCUUGGCCUAAACAGUUGCAUGUAUUUAGCAACUCGUACCUUAUAUUGCAUGAUUAUCUUUUUAAUGGGUGUUGAAGCAGAGCCCAGCUCUGAGGUAGUAGCAUGCCCGAUAGCCUGAUGGUCUGAAGGACAAGUUUUGCCUCGUUAGUGAUUUUUUUUUUUUUUCAUUCAUGAGACUGGAUUCCCACUAUCCCCUGCCCCCUCUCCUUUCGGAGUUACUGGAGAUCAAAGCCGUGAUGGUGGAUAGGGGCAAGGCCGGCUUUAUGAAAGUGGAUAUGACCGUCUGACUCCAAACAGAUUUUGAAGGAUGAUAAUAGGCUGGCACACACUUAAUUUGUAACUGCCAAGCUGUGGCCUCUUUUGGAGAGACAUUUGCAUGAAAGAAGGUUCGUGUCCAUUAGGGAGGAAGAGAAUUUAGGGAUGGAGUUGGUUGCAGAUUGGGUGGUGAGUAGACUUAGUAUGCUAUGAAGGAAAAUUGUGAGAGAAUGUUUCUGGUGAGGUUUGUUUUGGGUAGGCUUUUUGUCUUUUAUUUUGAGUAGACUUGUAUCUGCCUGCUUCCUUGCUUCCCUUUAAGGUUUAGGUGAUCAAAAAGUGCAAGCAGCUAACUGUUGCUACAACUGAAGACCACUGUUUAUGCGCGGUUGUCAAAUGUGAGUGGGCUGAAGUGCCCAGGUUCUCUGUCCCUGCACCUCUGUUUCAGAUCAGUAAUAAUUUGCCUGUAUGGGUUUUUGGGUUUAUGAGAUAGGACCUUGCCAUAUAAACCCAGGGUGGCCCCAGACUAACAGGAGUCCUCCUACUUGAGCCUCCCUACUGCUAACAUCACAGGUAUGUGUCAGCAUGCCUGUCUGGAGCUGAUUUUGUGAUAAUGAAACUUAAUUUUGGUAUGUAUGUAUGUAUGUAUGUAUGUAUGUACAUAUGUAUAUAUGCAUGUACAUAUAUAUGUAUAUAUGUAUGUAUGUAUGUAUGCACUUUAUAUCUCCAUCCAGGAUAAAUUUUGGGUUGAACGUUUAGUGGCUGGGUCAGUGUCACUAUUGCUCCACUGGGUUUCCUUCCUGACUACAGGAGGUGGCCUCUUCAGGUUUCAUAUCCCCAGUAUUUUGAGGCACAGCUAAAGUUACCUUUAAUGAUCCUUGGGUACCUCCCCUAUCCCAGGUCUCUUUGCAUGUCCUUGAGGUUCCCCCACGUCCCCAACUCCCACCAGUUGCAGAUUUCCAUUCAUUCUUAUGACUAUCUGGCCAUUUCUCCUGUCCAUCCCCACACCUGAUCCUGAACCCCCCUCCUCAUUCCAUCAACAUAAUCCACCAUAUGAAAAAAUGAAAGAGAAAAAAAAAUCACGAUCAUCUCAUUAGAUGCUGAAAAAGCUUUAAUGAAAUCUAACACCCCUUCAUGUUAAAAGUCUCAGAUCAAGAAUACAAGGCACACCCCUAAACGUAAUCAAAGCAAUAUACAGAAAGUCAAUAGCCAACAUCAAACUAAAUGGAGAGAAGCUUAAAGCGAUUCCUCUAAAAUCAGGGGCAACACAAGGCUGUCCACUUUCUCUCUCUUCAACAUACUACUUGAAGUUCUAGACAGAGCAAUAAGACAACCAAAGGAGAUCAAGGGGAUACAAAUCAGAAAGGAAGAAGUCAAAGUAUGGCUCUUUUCAGGUGAUAUGAUAGUAUACAUAAGCAACUCCCAAAAUUCUACCAGAGGACUCCUAAAGCUGACAAACCUUCAGCAAACCGGAUGAAUACAAAAUUAACUCAAAGAAAUCAGCAGUCCUUGUUUAUACAUAUGAUAAAUGGGCCCAGAAGGAAGUUAGGGAAACAACAGCCUUUAUAAAACCAGAAGUGUGUUUUAUAACAAGAGCUGUAUGGGUGUCCCAUAGACAAGCUGGAGCUGUUGGACCUCUCCGUUUGGCUACCCUGACUUUUUUCCUUUGUCCUUCACCAUUAUAUACUCUUAUAUUCUCUCUCUCUCUCUCUCUCUCCUUCUCUCUCUCUCUCUCUGCCUCUGUCUGUCUGUCUGUCUGUCUUGUCUGUCUAUCUGUUUGAAUUUGGUUUGUUUUUCAGAUAGGGUUUCUUUGUGUGGCUUUGGCUAUCCUGGAACUCACUUUGUAGACGAGACUGGAAUUAAUUCAGAGAUCCAUCUGCCUCUGCCUCUCAAGUUCUGGAUUAAAGGUGUGUACCACCACUGCCGGCCUGUCAUUAACACUUGGCACAUUGGGGACAAAUGUGAUCUGUGAGAGUUGUUGACAUCUGAGAAUAUAACAAGUUGACAUACGCCGGCCAGUGUCUAACCUUGUGGCUGUGGCUUUAAUGGAGGCUGACAUACGCAUCCACUGCAAAACCAGGGUUAGGUUUGAACCAGUUCUUUUUCUGUGUGGUAUGGAGUGAGCUUUGAGACAUAGGAGUUCUAGCACAUUGGGGGCUUACAGCUUUAUGGUGUCCUCUUCCAGAAUGUUUCUUGAGGGUGAACCUGGGGUGGGUUUAAAUCUCACUACCUCUCAGCCUGUCACUGGUGGAUUCAGACUGGCCACUCCAUUGCCUAGUGCUAAUUCACCUCUGCUAGCUGUGUGACUCAGGACAUAGAAAGUGGCUUACUCAGCUGACAAUGUUUCCUUCUGUUGCUAAGAAGAGAGGGUGGCUUCUGAGGAGAUAGUGCAGCAGGGGCCUGCUCCUGAGGAAGGUUUUUAUGAGGCAUCUUCUGGGUUCCCCUCCCUCAGUGGUUCCUACAUCAGUUUGGUGUACAACAUUGCUCUGUCAUCCAUUUCUUGAUUCAUGCCGCAGCUCUUCUUUCAUAAAAAAACAAACAAAACAAAACAAAACAAAAACAAACAAAAAAAACAAACAAACAGUUAAGCACAGAGA